rnacentral:misc_RNA from 1 species
GAUGAAGAACGUAGCGAAAUGCGAUAAGUAAUGUGAAUUGCAGAAUUCAGUGAAUCAUCGAAUCUUUGAACGCACCUUGCGCUCCUUGGUAUUCCUUGGAGCAUGCCUGUCCGAGCGUCAUUGCUGCCCUCAAGCACGGCUUGUGUGUUGGGCCUCCGUCCUCCUCCCGGGGGACGGGCCCGAAAGGCAGCGGCGGCACCGCGUCCGGUCCUCGAGCGUAUGGGGCUUCGUCACCCGCUCUUGUAGGCCCGGCCGGCGCUUGCCGACACAUCAAUCUUUUUUCCAGGUUGACCUCGGAUCAGGUAGGGAUACCCGCUGAACUUAAGCAUAUCAAAAGCGGAGGA